UACGAGGGGGGCAAGCGUUGUUCGGAAUUAUUGGGCGUAAAGGGUGCGUAGGCGGUUUGGUAAGUCUUAUGUGAAAUCUACAGGCUCAACUUGUAGUCUGCAUGAGAAACUACCGGGCUUGAGUAUGGGAGAGGUGAGUGGAAUUCCUGGUGUAGCGGUGAAAUGCGUAGAUAUCAGGAGGAACACCUGUGGCGAAAGCGGCUCACUGGACCAUAACUGACGCUGAUGCACGAAAGCUAGGGGAGCAAACGGG
rnacentral:rRNA from 1 species